ACCGACAGAAAUUGCUUUGGUUGCACUUCUGACCCUCGGGAAAAAGAGGAAGCCGAGUCAGGAGUGUGCAGGGGGGACGGGGCCCUUCCUGCGCGGGCGGGACAUCCGCAGAUCACAGGCGGUUUGUUUGUUCGGAUGAGGGUCACGACGCGCUGGCUCGGGUGUGAGCCCAGCGAGUUUGUGCGACGCCAGGGCAGUGUUUGGGGACAAAGGUUGUGCCUGCCAGGCGCAAAGUGAAACCGGGCCUCGCCAUCGGCGCAGCCCGGCAGCCACACAGGAGAAAGGAACCGGGAGCCGGACCAGUUUCAUCACAGAGGAACUAUGACAGCCGGAUGUGCUGAAGAAUGGAGAACCCCUCGCCAGCUGCAGGUGUCCUCAGAAACUAGGACUGCAGAGUAAUGUGAGCUGGGUGACAGGCGUGGCAGCCGCCAGUGGGAACAAGGAAAACAUGCACCGGGCUAUUUAGAUCAAGGAUGAGAACGGAAGAUUCAACGUGGGAGAAUAACGCCUUUCUCUGAAAUGUGUCCCCUUUACCUCCAUCAUCAUCCAGUACCGGGAACUGAGCUGCACCCUAGCUCUUUUUCUACCGGGAGGGGGCAGAGUCUCGCCAACGUGGCUAACCUGCUAAACUUUCGACCUCCUACCUCAGCUGCCCAGAGCACCAGGAGGACGGGCAGCGGCCCCACCCAUGGUUUCGUACAGAAUUCUUAGCUCUCCGGUUAGUGGAAGAUUGAGACCUUCUGACCUCCGCGAUCCAUUCCGAGCAUUCCACCCAAGACAGCACAGGGACCGAAAGUAAACAGCUGUCAAAGGCACCGCAAGAGCCCACAGAACCGGCUCCCGCAAUCCGUCCGGUUGUUCUUGCUCAGCCCAGCAGCCUGCCGCGCAGGCGCAGGUGCCUCUGCAGAGCGGCCAGCCCCAUGACUCUGCAUGGGCCUGUACCGCCCUGGGUGAAGGGAUGAGGGCCCCGGCUGCUCCAGGACCCGCAGGGCGAGGCCGAGGACAGGCACAGGUCCUUCCCUCACUCGGGAGGAGCCCUGGGCCAGCCCUGAUGCUCCCCGUCCUCCAUGCUUGGCCAGCAAUGUGACAUUAGAAGGCCGCGCAGCAGGAGAGAGAAUCCUGCAGCCACCACAACCAGGCCGGCACCUGCACGUCAUGAAAUACUCCCUCGGUGUUUGGAGCAGAGUAACUCAGCAGCAUCUUCCCAUUCUUCUUUCUCUCAGGCCAGUUUGACUCCAAGGCUGUAACUUCGUGUAGAAAUGAAAAAUCGGUUUGCAAUAUGCAAAUCAACCUGACCCUCAUCCAUUGCUAAUAAUUUCAGCUGUU